UGCCCUCGCCAUUGCCAGCGAAUAUGGCGCCGUUGCCCUCGCCAUUGCCGGCGACGAUGCCGCUGUUGCCCUCGCCAUUGCCGGCGAAUAUGCCGCAGUUGCCCUCGCCUUUGCCGGCGACAAUGCCGCUGUUGCCCUCGCCUUUGCCCGCGACAAUGGUGCAGUUGCUGGCAGCCAUACUGCCAUUUGCGUUGCCAGUGGUGAUGCCGCCGUUGCCCUCCCCGUUGCCAGUGGUGAUGCCGCCAUUGCCCUCCCCGUUGCCGGCAAAGAUGCCGCCAUUGCCCUCCCCAUUGCCGGCAAAGAUGCCGCCAUUGCCCUCACCAUUGCCCGCAAAGAUGCCGCUAUUGCCCUCACCAUUGCCAGCAAAGAUGCCACCAUUGCCAGCGAAGAUACCGCCGUUGCCAUUACCAUUUCCGUUGCCAGUGGUGAUGCCGCCAUUGCCCUCACCGUUGCCGGCGAAGAUGCCGCCGUUCCCGUUGCCAUUGCCAGCGAAGAUGCCGCCGUUCCCGUUGCCAUUGCCAGCAAAGAUGCCGCCGUUCCCGUUCCCGUUGCCAGCAAAGAUGCCACUGUUCCCAUUCCCAGAGAAGAUGCCGCCGCCAGCUGCACUGUGGCUGCUGUUGUUGUUGCUGAUGCCGCUGCUGGUGCCUCCCCCACUGAAGGGGAAGGGGAAGGUGUUGCUGUCCAUGGUUGUGCCUACAGGGACAUCUUUCUCAGUUUUGAGCUGUUUUGGUCUGUUCGGGGUCUGUACAAGUUUCACGUGGCCAACUGACGACUCAGCUUCCACAUCAUUGGUUUCCAGUUGUACUGAAAGUGAGAGAGCUGAUUAACAAAAAGUGAAGUGAAAGGAACUGAGUGAUGUUCUCUAAACUGACACAUUGCUGUGAGCAUUCAGAGCAAAUAGAAAAUUGAAAAAAAUUGUAUCAGACUUCAGAUACACCAAGAGACUUACUGGCCACCAGUCCAACAGAACAUUUGGCCCCAAGUGCAUCCAUGAUGUUAAAGCAGCUUUAUACAUGACAUUUGUAUGGCAAUGUAGUUAAAGUUAUGCAUUUUGUUACAACACCAAAAGCAUUUAAACUAAAAAGUUUCAUGAAGAGACUGAUAAAAAGGCUCCAUACACUUUCAAACAGUAGGAUUUGGCUGAACUGGCUCACCUCCUUUAGCAUCUUGCUCCAACAUGGACUCCAUUGACUGGAGAAGUGCAAUGGCCUUCUUUAAUAAGAGCUCUUUAAGAGAGAAGUCUGUUGUACAAAAGGAAAUUAAGUUGCCUGAAAGUAGCUCACAAAAGAAUUUGGGCGCACAUGUUCUUACCUUCCAUCUUCCUCUGAAGCCCAUGAUGACUUCUUUUAUUUGUCCCACCAACUGGCAAACAAGAGCCUAUGGACAGUACACUUGCUGUUAAUCAAAUGUUCAUGUGUUUUGAUGGCACGAUACAUCACAGACUAGUGACAACUACAAUUUCACAUUUCAAAAGAAUUCUCUAGUGUGUCAAGUUUUUGCCUGAAAUCAUGUAAAUUUACUCUUUUGGUUUUGAUACUCCAUUACCAUUUUUUUAACAGAAGCUUGAAAUGGAAGGAAAUGUGAAACCUUUGGCAAGCCAAACAGUCAGGACACAAACGAACAAGGCCCACAUAGCUCCCAUUGCAUCAGUCACCAACAGGAAAUGCUACCUGUGCCACACACUGGGUCUGAAAAAGCCUCUCAUGCAGGUGACACAGUUGUUGCUGAUCAGCUCUAAUUAGCUUUCUUCAGAGCUGCUGCAAUUCAGCCCCUC
ensembl:lncRNA